ACUCCUACGGGAGGCAGCAGUGGGGAAUAUUGCACAAUGGGCGCAAGCCUGAUGCAGCAACGCCGCGUGAGGGACGACGGCCUUCGGGUUGUAAACCUCUUUUAGUAGGGAAGAAGCGAAAGUGACGGUACCUGCAGAAAAAGCACCGGCUAACUACGUGCCAGCAGCCGCGGUAAUACGUAGGGUGCAAGCGUUAUCCGGAAUUAUUGGGCGUAAAGAGCUCGUAGGCGGUUUGUCGCGUCUGCUGUGAAAACUGGAGGCUCAACCUCCAGCCUGCAGUGGGUACGGGCAGACUAGAGUGCGGUAGGGGAGAUUGGAAUUCCUGGUGUAGCGGUGGAAUGCGCAGAUAUCAGGAGGAACACCGAUGGCGAAGGCAGAUCUCUGGGCCGUAACUGACGCUGAGGAGCGAAAGCAUGGGGAGCGAACAGGAUUAGAUACCCUGGUAGUCCAUGCCGUAAACGUUGGGAACUAGAUGUAGGGACCAUUCCACGGUUUCUGUGUCGCAGCUAACGCAUUAAGUUCCCCGCCUGGGGAGUACGGCCGCAAGGCUAAAACUCAAAGGAAUUGACGGGGGCCCGCACAAGCGGCGGAGCAUGCGGAUUAAUUCGAUGCAACGCGAAGAACCUUACCAAGGCUUGACAUAUACCGGAAAAGUUCANAAAUGUUCUCCCCGCAAGGUCGGUAUACAGGUGGUGCAUGGUUGUCGUCAGCUCGUGUCGUGAGAUGUUGGGUUAAGUCCCGCAACGAGCGCAACCCUCGUUCUAUGUUGCCAGCACGUAAUGGUGGGAACUCAUAGGAGACUGCCGGGGUCAACUCGGA
rnacentral:rRNA from 1 species